UCUCCGUUGGUGAACCAGCGGAGGGAUCAUUACAGGACUCGCAAGACUACUUCACCCUGUGAACCUCACUACAAGCACGUUGCUUCGGCGGGUGUCUCGGCGGGGGUUUUCCCUCGCCGGGACGCACAGCCCGCCGGCAUCCUACUAUACUCUGUCUCUUUGCGUUGGCAUCUCGAGAAAAAACAAACAAGUUAAAACUUUCAACAACGGAUCUCUUGGUUCUG
rnacentral:misc_RNA from 1 species